rnacentral:rRNA from 1 species
UACGUAGGGGGCAAGCGUUAUCCAGAUUUACUGGGCGUAAAGGGCUCGUAGGCGGCCAACUAAGUCAGACGUGAAAUCCCUCGGCUUAACCGGGGAACUGCGUCUGAUACUGGAUGGCUUGAGUUUGGGAGAGGGAUGCGGAAUUCCAGGUGUAGCGGUGAAAUGCGUAGAUAUCUGGAGGAACACCGGUGGCGAAGGCGGCAUCCUGGACCAACACUGACGCUCAUGCACGAAAGCGUGGGGAGCAAACAGG